rnacentral:rRNA from 1 species
AUUGAACGCUGGCGGCAUGCCUUACACAUGCAAGUCGAACGGUAACAGGUCCUCGGAUGCUGACGAGUGGCGAACGGGUGAGUAAUGCAUCGGAACGUGCCCAGUAGUGGGGGAUAGCCCGGCGAAAGCCGGAUUAAUACCGCAUACGACCUGAGGGUGAAAGGGGGGGAUCGCAAGACCUCUCGCUAUUGGAGCGGCCGAUGUCAGAUUAGCUAGUUGGUGGGGUAAAGGCCUACCAAGGCAACGAUCUGUAGUUGGUCUGAGAGGACGACCAGCCACACUGGGACUGAGACACGGCCCAGACUCCUACGGGAGGCAGCAGUGGGGAAUUUUGGACAAUGGGCGCAAGCCUGAUCCAGCAAUGCCGCGUGCAGGAAGAAGGCCUUCGGGUUGUAAACUGCUCUUGUCAGGGAAGAAAUCUUCUGGGUUAAUACCUCGGGAGGAUGACGGUACCUGAAGAAUAAGCACCGGUUAACUACGUGCCAGCCGCCGCCGUAAGAC